GCCUGGGUGGCUCAGUGGUUGAGCAUCUGUCUUUGGCUCAGGUCAUGAUCCUGGGGUCCUGGGAUUGAGUCCCACAUCAGGCU
rnacentral:tRNA from 1 species